GACAAUUUGAAUAAUAUAUAAAAGAAAUUCAAUAAUUUAAAACAAAUUUUAAUUUGUAAUCUUUAAUUCGUUAUUGGCCAACCUCCGGAGAUUACACAGCAUACAGGGAGAGAACUCUCACAAGCCCUCCUCUAUUCAAUACUAGAACCGAAAAACAGCACCAAAACAAACAUCGCAACGAAAUUCAUGCAGAACGUUUUCAUGUUGAUUCCUGAUAUAAGAAGCAAAUCUACCAACUUCAAAAGUUAUUUAUUGAUCUCCAAGCACCACGUUUAUCGGGGUUUUUAAAAUUUUUUUUUUUUUUAAUAACAUCAACACCACACCACACAAACAUAGCAUGAAAUUCUAAUUAUUGUACUACAUUGCACCACAUACUAAGAGCCCCCUGAAGUAGUCCUCUCCAAAGACGUCAUUCCACAACUUUCCUAGUAUAAGUUCUGCUAGGUUGAAAUUGAUGGGUUGGUCUGAGAAACAUGUCACCAGAUU
rnacentral:misc_RNA from 1 species